UGUGUAGAGCCAAGAAAUACGUCG
rnacentral:miRNA from 1 species